CGAGAGCUAAUCUUAAAGCAUUGACCAGCAUACCCACAGGAAUUAGUCAUCUGUAUCAAAAGCAAAAUAAACUCAUGCAGGAAAUACAGUAUGAAAGGAUUACUAGGAACCACUACGGGCUCACGUGAGGUUCAUGGUACUGGAUUCAAGGUGACAAGAGUCAGCAUGGGAGUGUGUAUAUGCUGGUCUUUCUCCAAUCAUUGUCUAAAUGCUCAGGUGAGCUCUGGAAUUCGCACUUCAGCCAGCUCUGGGGUGUUAACAGCUGUGUACAAGCAAAGGCACUAAGGAAUUAAGAAAGUAACUACGGUGUUGGACCUGAGAAUACAUGGAAGAUAAAGAAGGAAAGAUGACAUGAAGAUACGAUGCAUCAUGAGAAGAUAAUGGUUCAGCUCACUGGAAGUUCUGGUGGGGCCAGAGAACUGGAUGUAAGCACAAGAGAGGGAUAGAACUCCAUGAGCAGUAUUCUACAGGCAAACAAAUCUGCAGUGACCGAGACUACUCUUUACUGAUCAGCUGACUGCUGAUGAAGAAUGACUUCAAGAAACUGUGCAAAGUGCUGAGGAAGCAGGCUUGAGAAGAGGGGUGCUGAUCUGAAAUGUGUAUUUGUGUGAAUAGAAGAAAAAUAAUAGCUAAUAGUAAACAUUG